UACGAAGGGGGCUAGCGUUGUUCGGAAUUACUGGCGUAAAGCGCACGUAGGCGGAUAUUUAAGUCAGGGGUGAAAUCCCGGGGCUCAACCUCGGAACUGCCUUUGAUACUGGGUAUCUUGAGUAUGGAAGAGGUAAGUGGAAUUGCGAGUGUAGAGGUGAAAUUCGUAGAUAUUCGCAGGAACACCAGUGGCGAAGGCGGCUUACUGGUCCAUUACUGACGCUGAGGUGCGAAAGCGUGGGGAGCAAACAGGGAU
rnacentral:rRNA from 1 species